UCAUAGAAUUGAAAAGCCUUGUAAUCAGAAAUAAGUAAGGAAGAUUUGAACCUACAGUGGGCUAUUUUUUUUAAGUAUGACAAGUGUUUUAAAUAUUUUGUGAACCAAUGUGAGUAAGUUGAUUUUCGAAAGCUACAUUUUGGCACAAACUCCAUCACUGACAUGUGUUAAGCAACAAAAAAGAUAUUAAAUGCUGUCUUGGUGUCGCGUAUAUUAUUAUUAUGACAUUGAAUAACAUACCCUGAAUGUGUUAAUAGCAAAUGC